AUUGAACGCUGGCGGCAUGGCUAAAACAUGCAAGUCGAACGUACCCGCAAGGGUAAGUGGCGAAAGGGUCAGUAAUACGAUCGAAUGUACCCCGAGGUAGGGGAUAGCGCCGGGAAACUGGCGGUAAUACCCCAUGAGCUCGCAAGAGGAAAGAUUUUUCGCCUUGGGAGCAGCGAUCGUCCUAUCAGGUAGUUGGCGGGGUAACGGCCCACCAAGCCGAAGACGGGUAGCGGGUGUGAGAGCACGGCCCGCGACAUCGGGACUGAGACACUGCCCGGACUCCUACGGGAGGCUGCAGUAACGAAUCUUCCGCAAUGGGCGAAAGCCUGACGGAGCAAUGCCGCGUGCGGGAUGAAGCGCCUACGGCGUGUAAACCGCUGUCAGGGACGAACCAAUGAUUGUCCCCAGAGGAAGAGCCGGCUAACCCUGUGCCAGCCGCCGCAGUAAC
rnacentral:rRNA from 1 species